AAAAGUGUAAGUAGGUAUAUAAACUUAAAAUAAAUUGUCUUCAUUUUAGAUAGAAUACAUUAGCCGUUAUUAUUAUUUUUCUUUGUGUAUCUAUACGAAUUUAUUAGUAAUAUAUAAAAUGCGUUUCGAGAAAAUGUACCCAAACAAUAUUUGCUUAAACGUUUUUCUGUCAUAAAUAGUGAUGUGCACUUCCGAAAAGUUUA